AAUGGGGCGAAGCCUGAUGCAGCGAGCCGCGUGGAGGGAUGAAGGCCUUCGGGUUGUAAACCCUCUUUCAGGAGGGAAGAAAUUGACGGUACCUCCAGAAGAAGCCCCGGCCAACUACGUGCCAUCAGCCGCGGUAAUACGUAGGGGGCGAGCGUUGUCCGGAAUUAUUGGGCGUAAAGAGCUCGUAUGCGGCUCAGCAAGUCGGCUGUGAAAUCCCGAGGCUCAACCUCGGAACUGCACUCCAUACUGCUGUGGCUAAAUUCUGGUAAAGGAGAGUGGAAUUCCCGGUGUAGCGGUGAAAUGCACACAUAUCGGGAGGAACACCAUUAGCGAAGGCGGCUCUCUGGGCCAGUACUGACGCUGAGGAGCGAAAGC
rnacentral:rRNA from 1 species